CACACGGUCCGGAUCCAGUCCCAACCCACCACCGCCAGCUCCACUUCCCUUCGGUUUCUGCUGCUCGUCGAAGCCGUCUCCGGCAAGGACCUGGCCGGCGACACCGCCUCUUCCAUGGCAGCCCGGCCACGGCCAGGCACGCCCUUUCCUCCCUCCCCGCGCUCUGGCCGUGGCCGGUCUUCUCCUCCUCUCUUCAUCCGGGGCCGGCCCCGGGUCGUGCCUCUCAUCUGGUUUGGAUUUGCUCGUCCCCGAUUCACCAUCCGUUUAGGCUUAGAACAGCAGCGCCUCAUUUGGUUUUUUCUCGUGCUCGGUUCGUCCAUUUGGAAUCGCGCCUGGUUUGAUUUUGCUUGUCCUUGCCGUCGCCUGUUUGGGGUGAUGGGGUCACGUCCGAUUCGAUUUUGCUCCUCCUCGCCUUGUCUGUGUAGAGUCGCUUCUGGUUCGAUUUUGCUCAUCCUCACCGCCGUCCGUGUAUAGUCGCGCCUAAUUCGAUUUCGCUCGUCCUCGCCGUUGUCCUGAUGCGCUUGCGUUUUCUAGGUCCGUCUCGCCUCGUCGGGGGUCUCCGUCUCAUUUGCGAACUAGAAAUUCUGUCUGCAUGCGCUUGUGUUAUCCGAACUAGCAAUCCUGGGUUUCGUGUUCGCGUCGGUUGCAGGAACGCACGGGUCUGGUUUCGAAAUUGGAUUACGGCCGGAGACGGGGAGCGAUGUUCGUUUAUGGUGCUAGUUCAGACCGGUUCCUCCGUUCCGUCACCUGCAUUGCUCUUGGUGAUUUUCAGAACUGAAAUGCAUGCUCUCUUCUGUCAGUUCUUGUUGGCCCUCUGUCAAUUCUUGAGUUCGAGGGUUCGUUAAUUCUUGAGUUCUUGUUGUACCGGCUAGGCGUGUGUGCUCUCAAUAUAGAUGUAGAGACGGGGUGAUUCCUUACGCUUGUUCUGAUGGUGUAUACUGUUUAUGUUCUUUCCAAUUUGUUUCUUUUUAUCAUGCGUUGCUUGUGUGUUGCCAUGUGGCCUGCUGCUUGACUAAUUGAACACCUGUUGCUGCUACUUUUGGACAAGGUUGCUUCUUUUUUUCCUGAUGUUGCUAUUUCCAUUGAAGUACUCAUAGGAGUUAUAGAUGGUCUGCUGCUAGUUAGUUCCCCUUAGACUACAUUCUAGAUUGCAUAUCAUAACUCGGGCAUAUAAUUCUGUUGUGAGCAUAACUCCAGAAUUUAUUUAUUCAUGAAAGCACGUUCAUCACAUGUUUUUUAUCAAUGUUGCUAACUUCUGUCACAUCCGUUUCCUCAAUUUCAACGAACCAAUAAUGUGGACAUGUGUUGCUUGUUUUCUUGUGAUGAUGGUGAUCCAAUUGACUAGCCCAACUCUUAUGCUCUGACAUUUGUUUAUCCCCGGUUAGUGUGCCUGAAAAAUUAUUGUUUGUCAUGUUAAAUUGUAUGGCAUCAACUCGGUAUUGUGAUUAAUGACCUAGUAUUUGUUUAGUGUACAUAGUUGACUUCUUUUUUCUUAAAUUUUUAGUGAUAUGCGUGUUUGUUAUGUCUUAUGUGGAUAUCAUAUUCUUUUUUUGUAUUACUAAUGUCCAGUCAAUGAAAAAUGCUUUUCUUGCUUUGCCUAGACUUUGUGACAAUUAACUUAUAGUGCGAUCAUUGAUCAUUGAGCUUCUGACACCCUAUUCCAUAAAAUUAUGUGUUCGCUGUCUGGUUUUGAAUUUGGAUUACGAGGGCAGGGAGAGGCCAAAGCAAUGUCAGUUUAUCGUGUUUGUUCAUAUCGGUUCCUCGGUUCCGUCGCUGCAUUGUUCGUCGGUGAUUUCCAGACCUCAAACGCAUGCGCCCUUGUGAUACUCUGGUUUGGCUCGCUGGUCGUUAUGGUUGUUCACCACGGUUGUUCUUAUGUUCUUGAAUCGCCCAUCUCAUAAGCAAAGAUGGGGUGAUUCAUUAUGGUUGUUCUGAUGGUUGCUUAUUUAGUGUUAUUUCCAAUUGAGUUCUUCUUGUCAUGCUUUGCUUAUGUUCCCAAUGUCUGUCUUCCCAUAUAUGGGAAUGCGUUUAGGGGUGCAAACCGUGUAGGCCGUGGUGUGUAUUGUACCAGCUACAGUGUGUUUUAUACUAUCUGAUGUGGAAGGUAUAAAUAUUGAUAUCACUUAUGUGUUAUUAUACUUGAUAUGGUGUGUUUUAUUCAAGUUAUUAACCACAUCUCUUACAAAUUUUCCUUGAGAUACAUAUUUAUAUGGCAGGAAUGAUUGUCUUGAAGAAUAAUCAUUUAUGCUAACUUGGUAUUGGUAGUUCCUGGUCAUAGGUAACAGACCAGUACUUGUUUAGUGCAGAUAACUGACUAUUCUUUUUUCUGAACUUUUUUGUGAUAUGUGUGUUAUGUGGAUAUCAUAUUCUAAAGCUUUUCUAAGUAUUUAAGGUACAGACAUGUGUAUCUGGACAUGUCACAUUUGCUCUUUAUUGUGUUGCUAAGGACACUGAAGGUUUGGCUGGGCCACUGCACGGGCUGGCUAAUGAGCAGGAAGUGUUGCUCUGGAUCAAAUCUGUAAUGGAAGAGACUGGCAGUAACAUUACAACCGACCAACUUAAAGAAUAUGUAUAGAAGACACUUAAGAGUGGAAAGGUUGUAGUGAUUAGGGAAGCUUGCAGAACUGUAUGAAUUUGAACAACAAUGGUCGAGAGCAGCACAAAUGCUUGGUGGAAUUGGCUUGGACUCAGAAAUCAAGAUGCUUGAUGACACAAACAAAUUAUCCAAGUGUGUCCAGAUUGCACGACUAUAUUUGGAGGAUGAUGACGCAGUGAAUGCGGAAGCUUUUAUCAACAAAGCCUCGUUUUUGGUCACAAACAGCAACCGGGAAGUUCUGAACUUACAAUACAAGGUCUGCUAUGGGAGAAUUUUAGAUCUAAAAAGCUGCACUUCAAUAUUGUGUUAUCUCUCAAAUUGAGCAAUGCCAAAUUGGGGAUGAGUAAGGCUUACUCCAUUCAAUUGUAGAUUUGUUUCUCUCAUGCAAUUUACUCAUUUUUAAUGUUCUAUCUUGUAUGGUUCUUUGUUGCCUUGCCGGUGUAGUGGUGCCUCAUUUCUAUUUUACACCCUUCAAAUAUUUCAAUGUUUUGCUUACUGGAUGUAAUAUAUUACCCUACUUGAUACUCAUGUUUAAGUACUGCAGUGGUUAUUAGCAAGUCGUGUUUGGAACUGAUACCACCUCCAUAUUUUAUUCUUAAAGAUCUUGAUGGAACAUUGUUUCUAUAUUUUCUCAGAUAGAUUGAUGAAAAUGCUCUUGAGCAUGCUCUUAGUGCUGCUGUAACAUGCACAAUAUUGUAACUGAUGAGAGGCAGCCACUGUUGCCAACUUGAAAUUAGUUUACUCAUUCAAGUUCUGGAAUUUCUUUAUAGCUUUCUGAGUUUACUUCGGUCUUCCAUGUAUUGGAUUUCUCUUUGUGCCCCUAUCUAUGUUCGUUUCUUGUGUGCAAGUGCUCCAUUCUAUGUGUGUGACUGUGUGUGACUUGAUGAAUAUGUGUGUGGCUUGACUCUGUGUGUGUGUGUAGUUUGACUUUGUGUGUGUGUGUGUAUAGCUUGACUGUGUGUGGCUUGAUGCCGAAUAUGUGUGUGGCUUGAUGGUGAAUAUGUGUGUGGCUUGACUCUGUGUGAGACUGUGUGU